GAUCAUGGCUCAGAUUGAACGCUGGCGGCAGGCCUAACACAUGCAAGUCGAGCGGUAACAGGUCUAGCUUGCUAGAUGCUGACGAGCGGCGGACGGGUGAGUAAUGCAUAGGAAUCUGCCCGAUAGUGGGGGAUAACCUGGGGAAACCCAGGCUAAUACCGCAUACGUCCUACGGGAGAAAGGGGGCUCCGGCUCCCGCUAUCGGAUGAGCCUAUGUCGGAUUAGCUGGUUGGUG
rnacentral:rRNA from 1 species